rnacentral:rRNA from 1 species
AUUGAACGCUGGCGGCAGGCUUAACACAUGCAAGUCGAGCGGGGGAAGGUAGCUUGCUACCGGACCUAGCGGCGGACGGGUGAGUAAUGCUUAGGAAUCUGCCUAUUAGUGGGGGACAACAUCUCGAAAGGGAUGCUAAUACCGCAUACGUCCUACGGGAGAAAGCAGGGGAUCUUCGGACCUUGCGCUAAUAGAUGAGCCUAAGUCGGAUUAGCUAGUUGGUGGGGUAAAGGCCUACCAAGGCGACGAUCUGGAGCGGGUCUGAGAGGAUGGUCCGCCACACGGGGACUGAGACACGGCCCAGACUCCUACGGGAGGCAGCAGUGGGGAAUAUUGGACAAUGGGGGGAACCCUGAUCCGGCCAUGCCGCGUGUGUGAAGAAGGCCUUAUGGUUGUAAAGCACUUUAAGCGAGGAGGAGGCUACUCUAGUUAAUACCUAGGGAUAGUGGACGUUACUCGCAGAAUAAGCACCGGCUAACUCUGUGCCAGCAGCCGCAGUAA